UUACGGUACGCUUCGUACUGUUAUGUCAAUUCGUGUUCGGCGCCCCUUAAUUCUGACAAAGAGAAAUGCGAUGGAUUCAAUUCUGUUGAAAUAACCAGCUGGUUAAGUUAACCAAAGUUGGUAGAAACGGAUAUAAUACGUAUUAAUAUUUAUUAAAUGUAAUUAUAGUUUAGAGUCCUCACCUCCGAUUUGACUAAAAUUCAACAAUAUUUUGUAUUUUCAAUAGAAAUCUAAUAUGAAAAUUAAAUGUUAGUAUUAAAAUCGUUGUACUGCCCCGUAAAACGAGAUAUUAAUUGUUAACGAGUAUGACAGAUUAUGAAAUCUGUCAGCGACACAUAGCGACAAAAUGUAGCGAUAUCACAUACUUCAUGGCCAUAUACGCAUGCAAAAAAUGCGCGAAUUUGUCGAGUACGAAAGGUCCAAAGGGCGAAGCCGUUAAAAAACAAAUUAUAAUAAAAACAGAAUUGUGUAUGAUUGGCCACACAUAAAAGGGAUAAGUUCUCCAGAACAUAACUCCACGCAUGAGGAUAAGUACUGGCAUAUCUUACAGCAGCAUAGAAACACAAUAAUUCACCAGUUACACCGAUCGGAUAUAAUAUGAUAAAUGUGGUAUAUCUAAAACAUUUUUAGAUUCUCAUUAAUAUAAUUUUGUAUAGUUAAAGUUAAGUUAAAGUUAGAAUAUCAUAAAGUUUGUUUAGAAUUGCAAUUUGUACAAAAUGUUUUUAAUCAUAAUAAAAAUAUAUAUUACCUCAGCCA